AUUGAACGCUGGCGGCAGGCUUAACACAUGCAAGUCGAGCGGAGAUGAGGUGCUUGCACCUUAUCUUAGCGGCGGACGGGUGAGUAAUGCUUAGGAAUCUGCCUAUUAGUGGGGGACAACAUUCCGAAAGGAAUGCUAAUACCGCAUACGUCCUACGGGAGAAAGCAGGGGAUCUUCGGACCUUGCGCUAAUAGAUGAGCCUAAGUCGGAUUAGCUAGUUGGUGGGGUAAAGGCCUACCAAGGCGACGAUCUGUAGCGGGUCUGAGAGGAUGAUCCGCCACACUGGGAAUGAGACACGGCCCAGACUCCUACGGGAGGCAGGAGUGGGGAAUUUUGGACAAUGGGGGGAACCCUGAUCCAGCCAUGCCGCGUGUGUGAAGAAGGCCUUAUGGUUGUAAAGCACUUUAAGCGAGGAGGAGGCUACUUUAGUUAAUACCUAGAGAUAGUGGACGUUACUCGCAGAAUAAGCACCGGCUAACUCUGUGCCAGCCGCCGCAGUAA
rnacentral:rRNA from 1 species